GACGAACGCUGGCGGCGUGCUUAACACAUGCAAGUCGAACGGAAAGGCCCUGCUUUUGUGGGGUGCUCGAGUGGCGAACGGGUGAGUAACACGUGAGUAACCUGCCCUUGACUUUGGGAUAACUUCGGGAAACUGGGGCUAAUACCGGAUAGGAGCUCCUGCUGCAUGGUGGGGGUUGGAAAGUUUCGGCGGUUGGGGAUGGACUCGCGGCUUAUCAGCUUGUUGGUGGGGUAGUGGCUUACCAAGGCUUUGACGGGUAGCCGGCCUGAGAGGGUGACCGGCCACAUUGGGACUGAGAUACGGCCCAGACUCCUACGGGAGGCAGCAGUGGGGAAUAUUGCACAAUGGGCGGAAGCCUGAUGCAGCAACGCCGCGUGCGGGAUGACGGCCUUCGGGUUGUAAACCGCUUUCGCCUGUGACGAAGCGUGAGUGACGGUAAUGGGUAAAGAAACACCGGCUAACUACGUG
rnacentral:rRNA from 1 species